rnacentral:rRNA from 1 species
UACGUAGGGUGCAAGCGUUGUCCGGAAUUAUUGGGCGUAAAGAGCUCGUAGGCGGUUCGUCGCGUCGGCUGUGAAAACCCGAGGCUCAACCUCGGGCCUGCAGUCGAUACGGGCGGACUGGAGUUCGGCAGGGGAGACUGGAAUUCCUGGUGUAGCGGUGAAAUGCGCAGAUAUCGGGAGGAACACCAGUGGCGAAGGCGACUACCUGGCCUGUUCUUGACGCUGAGGCGCGAAAGCUAGGGGAGCAAACGGG